AUGGGGAUGGGGCAGCACCGACCUACCCGGCGUGAAGAGGGCGAUGGCUUUGAGGCAGCUGUACUCGGCCGAGUCCACCUGGAGCCGGUUGAGCUUCUCCACCUGAUCCUGGAAGAUGCGGAUCUGGUCCAUGAAGGAGACGACGCGGUCGGCCGACAUGGGGGAGGCGUGGAAGCCGGCGGCGGCCAACAAGGGGGCCAUGUGGAGGGGCAGGGGCGACUGCGCUGCGUUGAGGACGAAGAGCUCGCUCCAGCUGAGCCGGAGCAGGGCCACCUGGUCAGAAACGGGCAAUUCGGGGAAAAAAGGGAUGUUCCUGGCCCAUUCCACCGUGCUGAAGAGGAGGCGGGCGGCCAGCUCGCAGAUGUUGUCGAUGCCCAUGAUGCUGCCCUGCUGGGCGUACUGGGAGCCGUAGCGGGCGGCGGGGUAGGGCUCAGCCCGCAGGAGCUGGGAGAUGAGCUCCGACACCGGCUGCCCGUUGAAGUAUUCCCCGCUGGGCAGGGUGUUGGGGCUGGUGCUGGAGUGGGUGGGGGGGAUCCGGCCCCGCUGCACGGCUGUGGGGAGGGAAGGAGAGAAGGUGUUUGUGUCCUGCUGCAUCAUCAUCCCCCCAUCCCGCUCCUGGGGUUCCCUCUGCCCUGUGGAGGGGGGAGAAAGAACCAGGACCCUCCCUCUCCCCACCCAGCAUCAUCCUCCAUCCCGCUCCUGGGGUUCCCUCUGCCCCACGUAGGGCAAGGAAGGAUGGGGAUGCUCCCUCUCCCCACUCAGCACCCCCCAUCCUGCUCCCAGAGGGCACAAGGGGUUCCCUCUGCCCCACGCAGGGCAAGGAAGGAUGGGGAUGCUCCCUCUCCCCACUCAGCACCCCCCAUCCUGCUCCCAGAGGGCACAAGGGGUUCCCUCUGCCCCACGCAGGGUGAGGAAGGACAGGGAUGCUCCCCCUCCCCACUCAGCAUCAUUCUCCAUCACUUUUCCGGGGCUUCCUCUGCCCCAUGGAGGGUGAGAAAGGACGGGGAUGCUCCCUAUUCCCGACCCAGCACCAUCCCAAAUCCACUCCUGGGGGUCACAAGGGGUUCCCUCUGCCCCACGGAGGGUAAGGAAGGACGGGGAUGCUCCCUAUUCCCAACCCAGCACCAUCCCAAAUCCACUCCUGGGGGGCAUGAGGGGUUCCCUCUGCCCCAUGGAGGGUGA
rnacentral:lncRNA from 1 species